UUUUUUUUGUAUUUCAAUGUAUUUCUCGUUUUAUUUUUCCGAUUCGAUUUCGGACACAGGAGGCCUUUUGGUAUUUUUAUUUUUUUCUAUCGACAUUUGGUUUUAUGCAAUCGAAGAUCUAGGAGAUGUACAGGAAUACAGAAAAUACUUUUAUUGCUGUAUCGGUUCAUUCAGAUUAUAUUACGUCGAAUUAUAUUGUCUAGGGUAAAGUAUUUAUUUUUUUUUUUUUCAGGGUUUGUUUAGUGUUUUUUCACUUCUUCAAUACCUUUUUUUUUAGAGCUACUGUACCGUCCGAAUUCUACAUACACGGUAUUAUAAUCGAAACAGGAGGGAUUUUUAAUCAGGAACAAAAAUCGUCGCUACACGCGAAACUGUAAUAAAUUAUUAUAGUCACGUAACGGAACAACUAUAUACACCCAUACAUGCACACAAUAAUAUAUCAUCAGACCGCAGUAUCGGACCCGGCUCUAUACAGACCCGUCCGAAAAUAAAAUAUAAACGACGGGGCAGGAAUAACAAGACUCCCCUCCGACGACUAUUUAUAUACAUAAUAGACAAGAGGUUUUUUUUUUAUUUUUUUUUUUUUUUAUAUUUUUAAAUUGGACCACGU